rnacentral:rRNA from 1 species
UAGUCUGGUGCCAGCAGCCGCGGUAAUUCCAGCUCCAAUAGCGUAUAUUUAAGUUGUNGCAGUUAAAAAGCUCGUAGUUGGAUCUUGGNUCGUAAAGGUCGGUCCGCCUACUCGGUGUGCACCUGCCCUUCCGUCCCUUUUGUCGGCGGCGUGCUCCUGNCCUUAAUUGGCUGGGUCGCGGNUCCGGCGCUGUUACUUUGAAAAANUUAGAGUGCUCAAAGCAAGCUUAUNNUCUGAAUACAUUAGCAUGGAAUAACGUGAUAGGAGUCUGGUCCUAUUGUGUUGGCCUUCGGGACCGGAGUAAUGAUUAAUAGGGACUGUCGGGGGCAUUCGUAUUUCAUUGUCAGAGGUGAAAUUCUUGGAUUUAUGAAAGACGGACCACUGCGAAAGCAUUUGCCAAGGAUGUUUUCAUUAAUCAAGAACGAAAGUUGGGGGCUCGAAGACGAUCAGAUACCGUCCUAGUCUCAACCAUAAACGAUGCCGACCAGGGAUCGGCGGAUGUUGCUCUAAGGACUCCGCCAGCACCUUCUGAGAAAUCAGAGUGUUUGGGUUCCGGGGGGAGUAUGGUCGCAAGGCUGAAACUUAAAGGAAUUGACGGAAGGGCACCACCAGGAGUGGAGCCUGCGGCUUAAUUUGACUCAACACGGGGAAACUUACCAGGUCCAGACAUAGUAAGGAUUGACAGAUUGAGAGCUCUUUCUUGAUUCUAUGGGUGGUGGUGCAUGGCCGUUCUU